CACCAUCUCAGAAGCACAAAUUAACAGUGCAUGUGGACAAGUAUGUAACACUGCAAGUGAUCACAGCAAAUCAGUCCAAAUAUUUUUUACAGACACGUCAUAUUUACAUCACUGUGUUUGUAAAACUCUUUUAUAUUUCUGCACAGACUGACGCUGAGGAUGAACUGAACUACGCUGCUCUGAACUUUUCAACAAAAAAGACACGAGGCAGAAAGAAGAGAGAGUUUGUUGAGGACGGUGUGUACGCUCAAGUAAAACAUUGAUCCUGUUGAUAGCGAGUAAAUCUGAACCCUGCAUCCAGUUAUUGAGAAAAUAUAAAGGUAGUCAAAGCAAUAGUAUAUUUUGUUCUGUCAUUUCUGUUUUAACUUUACUUAAAAAAAAAAAAAACUCCUUACCUAAAUCUGAUGUUAGU